rnacentral:lncRNA from 1 species
GGAGCCUGCAUGCAGCAGCUGUUAUGGAGGAUCUGGGGCUGAAUGACCAGUUGCCCAGAGGGAGAGAAAGGAGUUGUAUAUGGCCUGGCAAACAAGAAGGAAAAGAAGUGGCAAGUUGUUACUGUCUUGUUGGGAAGAGUUGCAUGGUCCCUGAUCACUUGUUGCAUGACCAGCAAACACCUUGCUGAGAGCUGUAGACCAGGCCAUUUGCUAGAGCAGCUCUGUGAUGCCAGCAACAGCCAUGUAAGGGGUGUAUGCUGGAGGAAAAACUUGGCCUAUGGAGCUGUAUUAGCUGGCAUUUCAAAGGGCAUGUGGGUCCAGAAGAGAGUCCUCUGUGUUCCUCUCUCAGCGUGAGAUUCCCCUCAGCUGGCUCCAAGACUCGGAUUGGCAUCCAGAAACGGUCAGAGGGUUUGGAUUUGUGGCAUCUAAACAAGCUGGACAGAAACUGUGCCUCAGGGAGAAACAUCCUCUCAAGUAGUUGAAAAUAAACUUGCUUGGCAUGCCUUGUGUGUUACA